rnacentral:rRNA from 1 species
GGCAGCAGUGAGGAAUAUUGGUCAAUGGGCGAAAGCCUGAACCAGCCAUGCCGCGUGAAGGAUGACGGCCCUAUGGGUUGUAAACUUCUUUUAUACGGGAAGAAACCGUCCUACGUGUAGGGCGUUGACGGUACCGUACGAAUAAGCAUCGGCUAACUCCGUGCCAGCAGCCGCGGUAAUACGGAGGAUGCAAGCGUUAUCCGGAUUUAUUGGGUUUAAAGGGUGCGUAGGCGGAAAUUUAAGUCAGUGAUGAAAUCCUGCGGCUCAACCGUAGAACUGUUAUUGAUACAGAAUUUCUUGAAUACAGUUGAGGUAGGCGGAAUGAGUAAUGUAGCGGUGAAAUGCUUAGAUAUUACUCAGAACACCGAUUGCGAAGGCAGCUUACUAAACUGAUAUUGACGCUGAGGCACGAAAGCGUGGGGAGCGAACAGGAUUAGAUACCCUGGUAGUCCACGCCGUAAACGAUGAUCACUCGUUGUUGGCAAUACACCGUCAGCGACUGAGCGAAAGCAUUAAGUGAUCCACCUGGGGAGUACGAUCGCAAGAUUGAAACUCAAAGGAAUUGACGGGGGCCCGCACAAGCGGAGGAACAUGUGGUUUAAUUCGAUGAUACGCGAGGAACCUUACCUGGGCUUAAAUGUAGAGCGACGGACCGGGAAACUGGUCUUUCUUCGGACGAUCUACAAGGUGCUGCAUGGCUGUCGUCAGCUCGUGCCGUGAGGUGUCGGGUUAAGUCCCAUAACGAGCGCAACCCUCAUCAUUAGUUGCCAGCGGGUAAUGCCGGGGACUCUAAUGAAACUGCCGGUGUAAACCGAGAGGAAGGUGGGGAUGACGUCAAGUCAGCACGGCCCUUAUGUCCAGGGCUACACACGUGUUACAAUGGUCAGUACAAAGGGCAGCUACCAUGCGAAUGGAUGCUAAUCUCGAAAACUGGUCUCAGUUCGGAUCGGAGUC